AGGAACAACGGCAGUGGCGGGGCCAGCUCUGCAGCCCUGGAGUCAGCUCCUGCAAUAACUACAAAGCUCUCCGUGUGCAGGGCCUGGAGGCUCCGGGGCGGG
rnacentral:pre_miRNA from 1 species